rnacentral:rRNA from 1 species
GACGAACGCUGGCGGCGUGCUUAACACAUGCAAGUCGAACGGAAAGGCCCUGCUUUUGUGGGGUGCUCGAGUGGCGAACGGGUGAGUAACACGUGAGUAACCUGCCCUUGACUUUGGGAUAACUUCAGGAAACUGGGGCUAAUACCGGAUAGGAGCUCCUGCUGCAUGGUGGGGGUUGGAAAGGUUCGGCGGUUGGGGAUGGACUCGCGGCUUAUCAGCUUGUUGGUGGGGUAGUGGCUUACCAAGGCUUUGACGGGUAGCCGGACUGAGAGGGUGACAGGCCACAGUGGGACUGAGAUACGGCCCAGACUCCUACGGGAGGCAGCAGUGGGGAAUAUUGCACAAUGGGCGGAAGCCUGAUGCAGCAACGCCGCGUGCGGGAUGACGGCCUUCGGGUUGUAAACCGCUUUCGCCUGUGACGAAGCGUGAGUGACGGUAAUGGGUAAAGAAGCACCGGCUAACUACGUG